CAGCCGCCACGGGAAUACGAAGGGUGCAAGCGUUAAUCGGAAUUACUGGGCGUAAAGCGUGCGUAGGCGGUUUGUUAAGUCUGCUGUGAAAUCCCCGGGCUCAACCUGGGAAUGGCAGUGGAUACUGGCAAGCUAGAGUGUGUCAGAGGAUGGUGGAAUUCCCGGUGUAGCGGUGAAAUGCGUAGAGAUCGGGAGGAACAUCAGUGGCGAAGGCGGCCAUCUGGGUCAACACUGACGCUGAGGCACGAAAGCGUGGGGAGCAAACAGAAUUAGAUACCCGUGUAGUCCCUGUCUCUUAUAA
rnacentral:rRNA from 1 species